UUCUUUUAGACUUUUAGAACUCUUGAGUUUACGUGACAGCAUAAUUGUUGGUUGCUGAGUAAAAACGCUUGAAAUGCAUUCAGAUAAAGCAAUAAACUAGGAAUAGCAAACACAUGACAAUGAUCAGAGGCAGUGGAAAUGCAGCCCCCUAGAGCUAAAAAAAAUAAAAAGGGCAGCCUGGUGCACUAAGCUCCCGCUAUAUGCAGGGUCAGCACAAGGGCCCGACCACAAGGGUUUAUUGUACGCAGGCUCACAUGUUUAUUGUACGCAGGCUCACCUUACAUUUCUGCGAGGGGGUAGAUGGCAAAUACAUUUAGUUGAAUCUGAUUACCGAAGACAAGGAAAAAGUUUAGGGGGUAAUGUGUGGUUCUAUAAAGCAACCCAGCUGCUACCACCCACCUUCCCUGCCAUACUAUCUCUUUCUUUUUACUCAACUUUAAAUUCUCGAAAUCCACCCUCAUAAAGUGGAGUGAAAGUAUUCAAACCAAGUCAACUUGGAAUAGUUUGAAUAGCAUAAUCGCUGUAAGAUUGCAAGGACACCCUAUGCUUACCUGAGAAGACCAAGGAAAAAUACAGGUCCAUACCAAAAAGACCACAACAGACAGAUGGAAUAACUUUCAUCCCAUCCGGAAGACAAAUACAGACGCCCUCAAUAUGCAUU
rnacentral:lncRNA from 1 species